rnacentral:lncRNA from 1 species
UUGGACCUGGUGGAAGUUUCUUGUUAUUACGUCCUCUGUCUCUAAUGUCUUUUACCAAACAGAGGACUCGGACCAAAGUCCAGGCAAGUACUAAUCCUCCAACAAUGGCUAGGUAAUCCAUGGUUUAAUUUGCUUCUGUUAAUUUCCCUAACAACGUCAUACUUAAAAGACACAGGUACCAAACAUUAGUAUUUAAUACUCUAUUUCUGCAUUAUUUCUUCUAGGAUCAUGUCGUUUGGAUUAAAAAAAGAAUGAUAUACGGAUAGUGGGCAGGGGCAGUUCUAGUAUUUUGGUAUUAAGUUCAUCUCAACCCAAUAUUUUCGACGCAAAGUAUAGAUUUUGAUAAAAAAAAACCAAAAAGCAUUCAGCAAAUAUUACAUAUGGACUCACAAUUUAAGUAAAAUUAAUUCAUUCUAAGAACCUUAAAUGUUAAAACUCAUUAAGUUAAAUUGUUAGAUCCGUUUAUGAUACUAAUUAGUGGGCUAUAAUAAAUAAUACUCCCUAGUUUUUGAGAACAUAUGCAUGUCCAUUUGAGUCUUGAAGUGCUAACUCUAAUUUGUCCUUCCUCACGUAAAUGAAGCAACAGCUGGUAGUGUAACGACCCAACCAGUCGUUUUGAGUAAUUUCAUUUCGCUCGCCAGUUCUCGAACAUGACUGGCCUCGUGUAAUAUAUUAUGAUUUAUGUAAAUCGUCGGUUUGGUUUUCAGGGUAAUCGGAAUGAAAUUGGAAGAACAGUUCUCAGUUUGAAGCUUAAAAUUUGAAAGGUUUGACCAAGUUUUGACUUGUUAGUAUAUGAUCCCGGAUUGAAAUUUUUAUGAUUUGGUUAGCUCCGUUAGAUGAUUUGGGGCUUAGGAGCAUGAUCAGAAUGUAUUUUGGAGGUCCGUGGAAAGUUUAGGCUGGAAAUGGCGAAAUUGAAAAUUUGGCAUUUUCUGGUUGGUAGUGAAAAUUUUGAUAUACGGAAUGGAAUUCCGAAAAUUGGAGUAGAGAAAAUGUGUCAUUUGUGAUGUGUGUGCAAAAGUUCAGGUCAUUCUGACGAGGUUUGAUAGACCUUUUGAUCGAAUUCGGAAUUUGGGAGUUUUUGGAAUUCAUAGGCUUGAAUCCGAUGAUGAUUUUAUGUUUUGAUGUUGUUUUGAGUGUCCCGAAGGUUGAAACAAGUUUGAAUGAUGUUAUGGGAUAUGUUGGCAUGUUUGGUUGAGGUCCCGAGGGCCUCGGGUAAGUUUCGGGUGAUUAAUAGACCAUUUCUUGGUUUUUGAGAGUUGCAGAUUUUUCUUCUGUUCUGUUGCAGAGCUUUGUUCUUCACGUUCGCGAGAGGACCUCGCGUUUGCUAAGGGUUGUUGAGAGGGGCAUCUGGUUUAUUCUUCGCGUUCGCGAUGAAAUUCCCGCGUUCGCGAAGGUUCCUGAGUUAAAGCUACGCGUCCGCGAGGAGCGUUCCACGUUCGCGUAUGGUCGGCUGUUUGGUCUUCGCGCUCGCGAAGAAGGGAAUUUUGGUCAGUGAAGCUUGGUGCAUCGCGAACGCGAGAGUGCUGCUGCGUUCGCGAUGAAAAAAUACCUGGGUAGUCAGUUUAUAUUUUAGAAUCGAGGGUUUAAGUCCUAUAUCACAAAAAUCAUUGGAGAGCUCGGGAGAAGGUGAAAUUGGAGGAGAUUUUCAGUGGAGCAAUUGGGGUAAGUAUUAUUCACUCAUAUUUGGUCUAAUUCCAUGAUUUAGUCUUGAAUUUCAUCAUUUAAUUUGAGAAAUUAGAGUGAAAAUUGGGGGAAAAUGGAAGGAAAAUUUGAGAAUUCUUUUGGGGAUUUGAAUGGGCAACUGAUGUCGGACUUUGAUGAUUUUGGUAUAUAUAAACUCGUGUUAGGAUAAGGAUUCUAUUGAUGUGAUUUUUAUCGGAUUCCGACGAGAGGGGCUCGGGGGUCGGGUUUGGUCAAUUUCGGGAUUUUUGAUGUAAAUUGGUUAUUUUCGAUUGGGCUUUGUUCCAUUAGCAUAUUUGAUGGUAUGAAUCUGAUUUUGGUUAGAUUUGGAGCAUCUGGAGGCCAUUCGAGGGGCAAAGGCAUCGCGGGCUAGCGUUUGGACCGGAUAGAGGUAAGUAAUAAUUGUAAAUGUUGUCCUGAGAGUAUGAAUCCCCGGAUUUCACAUUGUUGUGCUACUUUGAGGUGACGCACACGCUAGAUGACGAGCGUGGGGCCGUGCACCGUUGGGUAUUGUGACUUGGUCCGUCCCAUACGACUGUUAAGUUGCGUAUUUGAUUGAAAACUAUUUGAUAUCAUUGUGUUUUGAAAAUAAUUAUUAUGUUUUGGGCGGAAUGCCAUAUUUGGGCCCUGUGCUAACUGUUUUUGGACUUUAUGUGGCUUUUUGUACUUUUCCUCACUGUUUUAACUUAAUAAUUGUACUCAGUCAUGCUGUAUUUUAGUGAUUUCCUAAGUCAGCAUUAUUUACUCAAUUUUGACGCUAUAAAUGAUAUUAUGAGCUUAAUGCCCUGUUUUACUGUUAGUCCGAGUGGCUUGUGAGGUUGAUGGCUGAGAGAGGUCGAAGGCCUGAUUGUGAGGUUGAUGACUGAGAUAGACGGAGGGUCUGAUUGUGAGGUUAAUGACUGAGAGAGGCCGAGGCCUUAGUUGUGAGGAUUAUAUAUUUAUGGAUCGGGCUGCACACCGUAGCAAUAUAUAUAUUUAUAUGUAUAUGGAUCGGGCUGCAUGCCGCAGCGAUAUAUGGAUUGGGAUGCACGCUGCAGCGAUAUAGCGUUUGGGCUGUAGGAGCCCCUCCGGAGUUUGCACACCCCAGUGAACGCAACCGACUAUAUAUAUGGAUCGGACUGCACGCCGCAGCGAUAUAUGGAUCGGGAUGCGUGCCGCAGUGGUUAUUAUAUGGUACCUAUUGAGCGUGGGUGCUGAGUGGGAGCUGAUCGAUAAAAGUUGAGUCAUGAAUGACUGAGAGGCUUGUCUGAGGGGCCUGUUUAUGAACUUACUAUUUUCAGUCCUCCUUAAAGUGAGUUUCUAUUGAAUAUGUUGAUUAAAUUACUGCUUUCAUUCAUCUUUAGACCGAGCCUCUAUUGAAAAUGUUAAACAAAUACUUUAAACAACUUUCAUUUAAACUGAAGUUUUUACGAGGCGUUCGGAACUUAGUCACUGAUUUGGCUUUGUUACUUUCUCUAAGAUUUUUAUGUUAUGAAAUGGCUAUGAAUUUUUGUUUGCCGAGGGGCUGUAUACGAACUAUGUUUUGCCCGAGGGGCCGAUUAUGAUUUUCAUAACUUUCACUAUAUAUUUCAUUAAACCCCUAUUGAAAAGGUUAGAAAGAUAUUUUCUAAAGGAUUUUACUGAAGUUGGAAAUUUAGCGAAAUGAUUUGAAUGGUAUCCUCUCUUGGGAACAUACUGUAACUACUGUGGUGCUAUGACAUGGUUUACGUGAUUUCUUACUGCUUAAUCUUCAUUUACUUUUAUUACUUACUGAGUUGGCGUAUUCAUAUUACUCCUUUCACCUUGUGUGCAGAUUCAGGUAUUUCUAAGCUCGGUGACAGAUUCAUCGGAGUUAGCAAGGUAGCUGCCUGGCGGUCGCAACCCUGCUUUUCUCCCUCCUUAUUCUUCCUUAAUGUAUUCUUGUAAUUUUCCUGACCAUAUUGGUUUUGAUGUUGUUAGACAAUUGUAGUAGAUGCUCAUGACUAGUGACAACCUGAUUUCAAGCUUGUGUAUUUAUUCUGCACUAUUCAUUUAGACUU